CGUGAAAUUACGCCUUCCAUGAAGCCGGAAUUGCUAGUAAUGGCAGGUCAGCAUACUGCCGUGAAUACGUUCCCGGGCCCUUGUACACACCGCCCGUCACACCAUGAGAGUUGGGAAUACCCGAAGCCUGUGAGCUAACUUUUAGAGGCAGCAGUCGAAGGUAGAAUCAAUGAUUGGGGUGAAGUCGUAACAAGGUACC
rnacentral:rRNA from 1 species